GGAUGAGGAUGAGACGGGGGCGACGCCGGAGAAUGCUGCGAAGUAUAAUGGGAAUUUGAUGAGGAUGGUGAUGGAGGGGAAGGGGACGCCGGCGAGGCCGAAGGUGGGGUUGAGGGUGUAUGUUUUUGCGCUGUUUAAUGAGAAUUUGAAGCCGGGUCCGGCGUCGGAGAGGAAUUAUGGGCUGUUUAAGCCGGAUGGGACUCCGGCCUAUCAUUUGGAUAUUGUUGUGCCG
rnacentral:misc_RNA from 1 species